UACAGAGGUCUCAAGCGUUGUUCGGAUUCAUUGGGCGUAAAGGGUGCGUAGGCGGCGCGGUAAGUCGGGUGUGAAAUCUUCGGAGCUUAACUCCGAAACUGCAUUCGAUACUGCCGUGCUUGAGGACUGGAGAGGAGACUGGAAUUUACGGUGUAGCAGUGAAAUGCGUAGAGAUCGUAAGGAAGACCAGUGGCGAAGGCGGGUCUCUGGACAGUUCCUGACGCUGAGGAGCGAAAGCGUGGGGAGCAAACAGG
rnacentral:rRNA from 1 species